rnacentral:rRNA from 1 species
AUACGUAGGUGACAAGCGUUAUCCGGAUUUACUGGGUGUAAAGGGCGUGUAGGCGGAGAUGCAAGUCAGGAGUGAAAUCUAGGGGCUCAACCCCUAAACUGCUUUUGAAACUGUAUCCCUUGAGUAUCGGAGAGGCAGGUGGAAUUCCUAGUGGUGCGGGGAAAAUCGUAGAUAUUAGGAGGAACACCAGUGGCGAAGGCGGCCUGCUGGACGACAACUGACGCUGAGGCGCGAAAGCGUGGGGAGCAAACAGGAUUAGAUACCCUGGUAGUCCACGCUGUAAACGAUGAUUACUAGGUGUGGGGGGACUGACCCCUUCCGUGCCGCAGUUAACACAAUAAGUAAUCCACCUGGGGAGUACGGCCGCAAGGUUGAAACUCAAAUGAAUUGACGGGG